AUACGUAGGGGGCAAGCGUUGUCCGGAAUCAUUGGGCGUAAAGCGCGUGUAGGCGGCCUGCCAAGUCCGAUGUGAAAGCUCGGGGCUCAACCCCGAGUCUGCAUUGGAAACUGGCAGGCUUGAGUCCGGCAGAGGAGACUGGAAUUCCUGGUGUAGCGGUGAAAUGCGCAGAUAUCAGGAAGAACACCGGUGGCGAAGGCGGGUCUCUGGGACGGUACUGACGCUGAGACGCGAAAGCGUGGGGAGCAAACAGGAUUAGAUCCCCUGGUAGUCCACGCCGUAAACGAUGAGCACUAAGUGUCGGAUGAAUUUUCGGCGCUGCAGUUAACACAAUAAGUGCUCCGCCUGGGGAGUACGGUCGCAAGACUGAAACUUAAAGGAAUUGACGGGG
rnacentral:rRNA from 1 species